rnacentral:lncRNA from 10 species
UCACUGUGGGUCAAAAGGAUGAAUGCCAAGGGGAUAUGGACACAGAAGCCACGUCAUCUGCUACAGUGACUUAAGUCCAAAGAGGAACCAUAUUGAGGAUGGGCGCGGUGGCUCAUGCCUGUAAUCCCAGCACUUUGGGAGACCAAGACAGGUGGAUCACUUGAGGUCAGGAGUUCAAGACCAGCCCGGCCAACAUGACAAAAUCCUGUUUCUACUAAAAAUUCAAAAAAGUUAGCUGGGCGUGGUGAUACGUGCCCAUAGUCCCAGCUACUCAGGAGGCUGAAGCAGGAGAAUUGCUUGAACCCGGGAGGUGGAGGUUGCAGUGAGCUGAGAUGGUGCCACUGCACUCUAGCCUGGGUGACAGCGAGACUCCAUUUCAAAAACAAAAAACAAAAAAACAACAAAGAGGAACCAUAUUGACUCAUGGAGAAUAACAUGUUCAGGAAUAUGUGGCUGCCUUCAGGUAAGGGAAGGGCCUUGUCCCAGCUCAUUCAGUUAGCAGCACCCAGCU